rnacentral:rRNA from 1 species
CAGGACGAACGCUGGCGGCGUGCCUAAUACAUGCAAGUCGAACGGUCUUUUCUAUGGAAGCUUGCUUCCACUGAGAAGAUAGUGGCGAACGGGUGAGUAACACGUGGGUAACCUGCCCAUAAGAGGGGGAUAACAUCCGGAAACGGGUGCUAAUACCGCAUAGUUUUCUUGAUCGCAUGAUUGAGAAAGGAAAGACGGCCUUUGUGCUGUCGCUUAUGGAUGGACCCGCGGCGUAUUAGUUAGUUGGUGAGGUAACGGCUCACCAAGACGAUGAUACGUAGCCGACCUGAGAGGGUGAUCGGCCACAUUGGGACUGAGACACGGCCCAAACUCCUACGGGAGGCAGCAGUAGGGAAUCUUCCGCAAUGGACGAAAGUCUGACGGAGCAACGCCGCGUGAGUGAAGAAAGGUUUUCGGAUCGUAAAACUCUGUUGUCAGAGAAGAACAAGUUGGAGAGUAACUGCUCCAGCCUUGACGGUAUCUGACCAGAAAGCCACGGCUAACUACGUGCCAGCCGCCGC